GAUGAACGCUGGCUACAGGCUUAACACAUGCGAGUCGAGGGGAAACGACGGGGAAGCUUGCUUCCCCGGGCGUCGACCGGCGCACGGGUGAGUAACGCGUAUCCAACCUGCCUCUGACUGAGGGAUAACCCGUCGAAAGUCGGCCUAAUACCUCAUGGCAUCGUCUGCGGGCAUCCAACGACGAUUAAAGAUUUCAUCGGUCAGAGAUGGGGAUGCGUCUGAUUAGCUUGUUGGCGGGGUAACGGCCCACCAAGGCGACGAUCAGUAGGGGUUCUGAGAGGAAGGUCCCCCACAUUGGAACUGAGACACGGUCCAAACUCCUACGGGAGGCAGCAGUGAGGAAUAUUGGUCAAUGGGCGAGAGCCUGAACCAGCCAAGUAGCGUGCAGGAUGACGGCCCUAUGGGUUGUAAACUGCUUUAUGCGGGGAUAAAGUGAGGGACGUGUCCUUCAUUGCAGGUACCGCAUGAAUAAGGACCGGCUAAUUCCGUG
rnacentral:rRNA from 1 species